rnacentral:rRNA from 1 species
UACGUAGGGUGCAAGCGUUGUCCGGAAUUAUUGGGCGUAAAGAGCUCGUAGGCGGUCUGUCGCGUCGAUCGUGAAAACUUGGGGCUUAACCCUGAGCUUGCGGUCGAUACGGGCAUGACUGGAGUUCGGCAGGGGAGACUGGAAUUCCUGGUGUAGCGGUGAAAUGCGCAGAUAUCAGGAGGAACACCGGUGGCGAAGGCGGGUCUCUGGGCCGAUACUGACGCUGAGGAGCGAAAGCAUGGGGAGCGAACAGG